rnacentral:rRNA from 1 species
UACGUAGGGUGCAAGCGUUGUCCGGAAUUAUUGGGCGUAAAGAGCUCGUAGGCGGUUUGUCGCGUCGGCUGUGAAAACCUGGGGCUCAACCCCGGGCCUGCAGCCGAUACGGGCAAACUAGAAUUCGGCAGGGGAGAGCUGGAAUCCUGUGUAGCGGUGAAAUGCGCAGAUAUCAGGAGGAACACCGGUGGCGAAGGCGGGUCUCUGGGCCGAAACUGACGCUGAGGAGCGAAAGCGUGGGGAGCAAACAGG